GCUGAUCCCAGGCACCACAGACACGUCCAGGUAGCCGGGCAUCGCCUGGUAGGAGCUGGCGAAGCUGGGAUAGAAGGCGAACUCCUUGGCCCUAGAGGACAGGUCGUCACCCGGCAGGGCGCCCGACGGCUCGGGACUUGUCGGGCUUCCCGUGCUCAGUUUGGUGCCUCAAUAGAGGCACCCCUUUCCAGAGAGCAUCUCCGUGGGACUGAGGCAAGUUCCCUUUCAGCACAGGGCCUCCCUGAGGAGAAGAGGGGCUUUAUGCGGCCAAAAUUCAGCGACGAGCGGAAAGAGAGGGAAAAGUUCCCUUCGUCAAGGAGACCAGCCGAAGAAGAUGUAGGCCCCCCAGAGACCUGAGAGUGGGAAGGCUGGAGCCGAAAGUUCAGGACUCAGGGCGUUGAAAGCGCCAGAGAAGGGUCCGCAUGCUCUGAAC